rnacentral:piRNA from 1 species
AUUACUAACAGGCUGGUGUCACAUUU